rnacentral:rRNA from 1 species
UACGGGGGGGGCAAGCGUUGUUCGGAAUUACUGGGCGUAAAGGGCUCGUAGGCGGCCAACUAAGUCCGACGUGAAAUCCCAAGGCUUAACCUUGGAACUGCGUCGGAUACUGGAUGGCUUGAAUUCGGGAGAGGGAUGCAGAAUUCCAGGUGUAGCGGUGAAAUGCGUAGAUAUCUGGAGGAAUACCGGUGGCGAAGGCAGCCUCCUGGGCCAGCACUGACGCUCAUGCACGAAAGCGUGGGGAGCAAACAGG